rnacentral:rRNA from 1 species
CCUACGGGGGGCAGCAGUGAGGAAUAUUGGUCAAUGGACGAGAGUCUGAACCAGCCACGCAGCGUGAAGGAUGACUGCCCUAUGGGUUGUAAACUUCUUUUAUAUGGGAAUAAAAUGUUCCACGUGUGGGAUUUUGUAUGUACCAUAUGAAUAAGGAUCGGCUAACUCCGUGCCAGCAGCCGCGGUAAUACGGAGGCUCCGAGCGUUGUCCGGAUUUAUUGGGUUUAAAGGGAGCGUAGGUGGAUUGUUAAGUCAGUUGUGAAAGGUGGCGGCUCAACCGGAGAAUGGCAGUGGAAACUGGCAGUCUUGAGUACAGGAGAGGUGGGCGGAAUUCGUGGUGUAGCGGUGAAAUGCGUAGAUAUCACGAAGAACUCCGAUGGCGAAGGCAGCUCACUGGACUGCAACUGACGCUGAGGCUCGAAAGUGUGGGUAUCAAACAGGAUUAGAUACCCGAGUAGUC